ACACUCCUACGGGAGGCAGCAGUGGGGAAUUUUACGCAAUGGGGGAAACCCUGACGUAGCGACACCGCGUGAGCGAAGAAGCCCUUUGGGGUGUAAAGCUCUGUCAGCUGGAACGAAAACAAUGACGGUACCAGCAGAGGAAGCAUCGGCUAACUACGUGCCAGCAGCCGCGGUAAGACGUAGGAUGCGAGCGUUGUCCGGAUUUAUUGGGCGUAAAGAGUUCGUAGGUGGUUUGUUAAGUUUGGUGUUAAAGAUCGGGGCUCAACCCUGGGACUGCACUGAAUACUGGCAGACUCGAGUGUGGUAGAGGCUAGUGGAAUUCCCAGUGUAGCGGUGAAAUGCGUAGAUAUUGGGAAGAACACCGGUGGCGUAGGCGACUAGCUGGGCUAUAACUGACGCUGAGGAACGAAAGCCAGGGGAGCGAAUGGGAUUAGAUACCCGGGUAGUCCC
rnacentral:rRNA from 1 species